rnacentral:tRNA from 1 species
GGAGGGAUGGCCGAGAGGACGAAGGCGACGGUCUUGAAAACCGUUAUACGGGAAACCGUAUCGUGGGUUCGAAUCCCACUCCCUCCGCCA